UACGAAGGGGGCUAGCGUUGCUCGGAAUCACUGGGCGUAAAGGGUGCGUAGGCGGGUCUUUUAAGUCAGGGGUGAAAUCCUGGAGCUCAACUCCAGAACUGCCUUUGAUACUGAGGAUCUUGAGUUCGGGAGAGGUGAGUGGAACUGCGAGUGUAGAGGUGAAAUUCGUAGAUAUUCGCAAGAACACCAGUGGCGAAGGCGGCUCACUGGCCCCGAUACUGACGCUGAGGCACGAAAAGCGUGGGGGAGCAAACAGG
rnacentral:rRNA from 1 species